rnacentral:lncRNA from 1 species
GGCUGUUCCACUGAGCGUUUGCUGAGCACCAACAGUGUCGACGGUCUCGGUGUAACCACUGGUGGGGGAAACAGAAGUGCCAGCCUUGAGCCCUGCCCUCAGGCAGCGGGGGCUGGCUUUGGGUUUCACGGGCGUCAGAAGUUGGAAGCCACGGGGCAGCGGCUCCAGCAUUUCAUGGUGACGAGCAACUGGUGUUUCUCCUCUGCCUGAACCUGAUGCUCCUUCCAGUUACGCUUUCCUUCUCGUCGCAGGGGCGGGAGCCAUUCAUCCUGAUUAGCAGACGAUGUGCCCAUUAAUGGGAAAUCAAAAAGGACUGCAGGGGAAUUUCAAGGGAUAAAACUGAAUUGAGCUCAGUUCAACAAGCAUUUACUGAUGCCUACGAAGCCCAGUAUCUGCAUGCCCUAGGCUGGGCGUUGGAGACAGAGAGACGAGAAAAGGAUGCUGCUGGUGUUAUCUGAAGCUGGUAACACCUCCCUGCUGACCUUGCUGGGUUUUCCGGAAGAUGCACUAAUGAGCAUCGAAGGUUCUGGUGCACUUCUCAGAUGGUCGGGCAAUGCAGCUGUGCUUCCUUCCUCCAUAGUAGAUGUCACUGGGGCUCUACCCUGCCCCCCUGCUGAGGAGCAGGUGCACCCACCUCCCAGCUGCCGUGAGUGUGGGAUGCUAAUGACCCACAGCUGCCCCCUUCUCUGCAGACUUGCCUUCAGCCAAAUAGGGGCUGCCCAAAGCACAGAUGCCCUGGAAUGCUCCCUCUCCCUGCCCCCCACUGCCCACUCCAUUGACUAAGAGUGGCAUGCAGGGCUGGUCUCCUUCUGCUGGGUGGAACCAACUUUUAGUGCAAUUCCUGCUCCAGAGCUCCCCAUGGGAUCAGGCUAGUCUUCUCUUGAAGUCAAUCCAUCCUUCUUAGUUCCUCCCCGUCCCCAUCCUGCUUUCUCACUCCCCCCAUCCUGGGAACCUCCCUCACGGACUCAGUGGCCCCAAAUCGUGCCACAGACUGCAUCUAGGGAACCUACCCUAAGUCCUUUUCUCCUCUGCCUUUUAGUGUUUUCUUCUUUCCUUUCUUUCUUGCUAGGAAAUCAGGAGAGCAUCAUGUCAUGGAAACCAAGUCAGGAGAGUUUCAAUAGGCAGAGGGACCAGCAGCAUCGGACGAGGAAAGCCGUCACCAAAUCAGGACUAAAGAGUCCUCAUUGGCCUUGGCAUUUAGAGGGUUUACUGGUGCCCUCCUGUCUAAGGAAUAUCAAGGUACAGUUAAACUUCACCUUCCUUCUUUAUUGCUGGGUCUGUAAAUCUUAUAAAAACAAUCUUUAAUGGUAGGAAAAUGCCAGGCAAGUCAAGUCUCCUGUCUUAGCCUGAGUUUUCUCACCUGCAGAUGAGCUGGAUGAUCUAUCCCAAAUUCUAUGGUUCUAAGAACGUAUCCUGUGUGACCUUCUCAAAUAAGAAGGGUCCCAAUUCCCAAGCUUUCGAUAUGUGUCCUCGUGCGGGGCUGGGCAGAGGAUGUGAGGUAUCUCUUUCAACCCUCACAACCACCUUGUGAGAUAGGAGGUAUCUCAUCCCCUUGUCAUUGUGUCUCCAAUUUGUCCAUGUGCCUGUAGCAGCUGGAUCUUACGUUAGCAUGAGGGAAGCCAUCUUAGGGAAAGGAAGCAAUACUGUAACUAUGACCUUGACUCGCCAGUCUCUUUGAGUAUAUUCUAGCCUGCGCGUAGCCUAGAUGGUGAAGGACCUCUUGCUUUUGCAAUAUAUAUGAUCUGCCAGUUCUAUGACUCUUGCUUACGUAUCUAUCCCAGCU